ncrna:unclassified sequences SAM-I/IV variant riboswitch
UUAAAGCAUAAAGAGAAGGUUAAGACCUCGGCAACCUGGAUGACUAUCCAAGGUGCCCGGAAAUGUGGCAGUGAUGCAACUAAAUAGUCAAAA